rnacentral:tRNA from 1 species
UGCGGGGUGGAGCAGUGGUAGCUCGUCGGGCUCAUAACCCGAAGGUCGCAGGUUCAAAUCCUGCCUCCGCUA